rnacentral:lncRNA from 1 species
GCUACCAUAAUUCUUUGAAAACAAUACCUGCUGCCUUUUCACCUCUAUAUCAUUUUACCUUGCCAUUUUGCUGUUGUUUUAUCAAAGUUCAUACCGGCACCAAUUUUACAAGGACUGGGUCUGGACCGGUCAAUCUUCCAUCGUGCCCAUUUUUUGUCAAGAAUUCUUAGGUUCGGCAAGAACUGGGCCGGUCCCGUUGGGCCUUCGGUCUUGUUGGGCUUGGUUUGUGGGCCGUAGAAAUUGGACAAAAUAACGUCGAAAAUAUGGGAAAGAGAGGAUUCGAACCUCUCACCUCCCACAUGAGCUCCAAGGCAAGAACCACUAGACCAACUUUACAAGGACCAGGCCUGGACCGGUCAAUCUUCCAAUCUUCCAUCUGGCCCAUUUUUGUUAAUAAUUCUUAAGACCGGCAAGAGCCCGAACCGGCAAGAACCGGGCUGGUCUUGUUGGGCCGGGUUUGUGGGUCAUAGAAAUCGGACAAAAUAAUGUCGAAAAUAUGGGAAAGAGAGGAUUUGAACCUCUCACCUCCCACAUGAGCUCCAAGGCAAGAAUCACUAGACCAACUUUACAAGGACCGGGUCUGGACCGGUCAAUCUUCCAAUCUUCCAUCGGGCCCAUUUUUGUUAAGAAUUCUUAAGACCGGCAAGAGCACGAACCGGCAAGAACCGGGCCGGUCUCGCCGGGCUGGGUUUGUGGGCCGUAGAAAUCGGACAAAAUAAUGUCAAAAAUAUGGGAAAGAGAGGAUUCGAACCUCUCACCUCCCAUAUGAGCCCCAAGGCAAGAACCAUUAGACCAACUUGUGCUUCUAAUUAUUAUAGUACAAAACUUUUCUAUAUUCAGUUGUAUUAUGCAAUACGGAAGAAAUAAUAACCAAAAGUUCAAGAGAGAUUCAAACCUCUCACACUGCUCGCAUAAAAUCCAAUGCGAGUUCCAUUAUGCCAACUUGCUAUUUUUGUUAUUUCAGUACAAAAGUACAAUAUAUUCUCGUCUUAGUUCAAAAAUUAAAACUUAGCCAAUGCCCAUAUCUCGUUUCCUUCUUCUCUCACCUUCUCUCACUCAAGUCUCUUUUGCUUCGAUUGAUUUCGUCCUUUCACGUUUCCAGUUCAUCUUUUUCUUCACAUUUUUUGUUCUUUCUCUUCCCUAAUUGGCCAAGGUCUGUCAUAAAGCUAGUAAUGAUGUCUUGGAGUUGUGGCACAAUACCAAUCAAAUCAACAAAAGAUCUUUAUCAUAUCAUCAUCAAAUUUUCCUCAUCACCAGAAUUAAUGGCAGC